CAACCCUCGAACCCCUCCGGGGGGUCGGCGUUGGGGAUCGGCCCCUCACCGGGCCGCCCCCGAAAUACAGUGGCGGUCUCGCCGCAGCCUCUCCUGCGCAGUAGUUUGCACACUCGCACCGGGAGCGCGGCGCGGCCACAGCCGUAAAACACCCCAAACUCUGAAAUG
rnacentral:rRNA from 3 species